AGCAGCCGCGGUAAUUCCAGCUCCAAUAGCGUAUAUUAAAGUUGUUGCAGUUAAAAAGCUCGUAGUUGAAUUUCGGGAUCAGUACGCUGGUCGUGCCUUUGGUAUGCACUGGUGUCACUGGUUCCUCCCUUCUGAAGAACUGUCAUGCCAUUAAUUUGGUGUGGCGGGGAAUCAGGACUGUUACUUUGAAAAAAUUGAGUGUUUAAAGCAGGCUCGCGCUUGAAUACAUUAGCAUGGAAUAAUGAAAUAGGACGUUUUGAUUCUAUUUUGUUGGUUUCUAGGAUCGACGUAAUGAUUAAUAGGGAUAGUUGGGGGCAUUAGUAUUCAAUUGUCAGAGGUGAAAUUCUUGGAUUUAUUGAAGACUAACUACUGCGAAAGCAUUUGCCAAGGAUGUUUUCAUUAAUCAAGAACGAAAGUUAGGGAUCGAAGACGAUCAGAUACCAUCGUAGUCUUAACCAUAAACUAUGCCGACUAGGGAUCGGAUGAUGUUAAUUUUUUAAUGACUUC
rnacentral:rRNA from 1 species